rnacentral:rRNA from 1 species
UACGUAGGGUGCGAGCGUUGUCCGGAAUUAUUGGGCGUAAAGAGCUCGUAGGCGGUUUGUUGCGUCUAUCGUGAAAACCUGCAGCUUAACUGUGGGCUUGCGGUGGAUACGGGCAGACUUGAGUUCGGUAGGGGAGACUGGAAUUCCUGGUGUAGCGGUGAAAUGCGCAGAUAUCAGGAGGAACACCGAUGGCGAAGGCAGGUCUCUGGGCAUUAACUGACGCUGAGGAGCGAAAGCAUGGGGAGCGAACAGG